UACGUAGGGAGCAAGCGUUGUCCGGAAUCAUUGGGCGUAAAGCGCGCGUAGGUGGCUUCGUAAGUCCGUUGUGAAAGUCAAAGGCUCAACCUUUGAAAGCCGAUGGAUACUGUGGAGCUAGAGUACGGAAGAGGCGAGUGGAAUUCCUGGUGUAGCGGUGGAAUGCGCAGAUAUCAGGAGGAACACCAAUAGCGAAGGCAGCUCGCUGGGACGUUACUGACACUGAGGCGCGAAAGCGUGGGAGCGAACAGG
rnacentral:rRNA from 1 species